rnacentral:rRNA from 1 species
GGCGGCGUGCCUAAUACAUGCAAGUCGAACGCUUUGUGGUUCAACUGAUUUGAAGAGCUUGCUCAGAUAUGACGAUGGACAUUGCAAAGAGUGGCGAACGGGUGAGUAACACGUGGGAAACCUACCUCUUAGCAGGGGAUAACAUUUGGAAACAGAUGCUAAUACCGUAUAACAAUGACAACCGCAUGGUUGUUAUUUAAAAGAUGGUUCUGCUAUCACUAAGAGAUGGUCCCGCGGUGCAUUAGCUAGUUGGUAAGGUAAUGGCUUACCAAGGCGAUGAUGCAUAGCCGAGUUGAGAGACUGAUCGGCCACAAUGGGACUGAGACACGGCCCAUACUCCUACGGGAGGCAGCAGUAGGGAAUCUUCCACAAUGGGCGAAAGCCUGAUGGAGCAACGCCGCGUGUGUGAUGAAGGGUUUCGGCUCGUAAAACACUGUUGUAAGAGAAGAAUGACAUUGAGAGUAACUGUUCAAUGUGUGACGGUAUCUUACCAGAAAGGAACGGCUAAAUACGUGCCAGCAGCCGCGGUAAUACGUAUGUUCCAAGCGUUAUCCGGAUUUAUUGGGCGUAAAGCGAGCGCAGACGGUUAUUUAAGUCUGAAGUGAAAGCCCUCAGCUCAACUGAGGAAUUGCUUUGGAAACUGGAUGACUUGAGUGCAGUAGAGGAAAGUGGAACUCCAUGUGUAGCGGUGAAAUGCGUAGAUAUAUGGAAGAACACCAGUGGCGAAGGCGGCUUUCUGGACUGUAACUGACGUUGAGGCUCGAAAGUGUGGGUAGCAAACAGGAUUAGAUACCCUGGUAGUCCACACCGUAAACGAUGAGUGCUAGGUGUUUGAGGGUUUCCGCCCUUAAGUGCCGCAGCUAACGCAUUAAGCACUCCGCCUGGGGAGUACGACCGCAAGGUUGAAACUCAAAGGAAUUGACGGGGACCCGCACAAGCGGUGGAGCAUGUGGUUUAAUUCGAAGCAACGCGAAGAACCUUACCAGGUCUUGACAUCCCUUGACAACUCCAGAGAUGGAGCGUUCCCUUCGGGGACAAGGUGACAGGUGGUGCAUGGUUGUCGUCAGCUCGUGUCGUGAGAUGUUGGGUUAAGUCCCGCAACGAGCGCAACCCUUAUUACUAGUUGCCAGCAUUCAGUUGGGCACUCUAGUGAGACUGCCGGUGACAAACCGGAGGAAGGUGGGGAUGACGUCAAAUCAUCAUGCCCCUUAUGACCUGGGCUACACACGUGCUACAAUGGCGUAUACAACGAGUUGCCAACCCGCGAGGGUGAGCUAAUCUCUUAAAGUACGUCUCAGUUCGGAUUGUAGGCUGCAACUCGCCUACAUGAAGUCGGAAUCGCUAGUAAUCGCGGAUCAGCACGCCGCGGUGAAUACGUUCCCGGGUCUUGUACACACCGCCCGUCACACCAUGAGAGUUUGUAACACCCAAAGCCGGUGGGGUAACCUUCGGGAGCCAGCCGUCUAAGGUGGGACAGAUG